rnacentral:rRNA from 1 species
UUCCCCCUUCGGGGGGACAGGGUGACAGGUGGUGCAUGGUUGUCGUCAGCUCGUGUCGUGAGAUGUUGGGUUAAGUCCCGCAACGAGCGCAACCCUCGACCUUAGUUGCCAGCAUUCAGUUGGGCACUCUAAGGUGACUGCCGGCUAAAAGUCGGAGGAAGGUGGGGAUGACGUCAAAUCAUCAUGCCCCUUAUGACCUGGGCUACACACGUGCUACAAUGGGCGGUACAAAGGGUCGCGAACCCGCGAGGGGGAGCCAAUCCCAAAAAGCCGCUCUCAGUUCGGAUUGCGGGCUGCAACUCGCCUGCAUGAAGCCGGAAUCGCUAGUAAUCGCGGAUCAGCAUGCCGCGGUGAAUACGUUCCCGGGCCUU